GGACCCGCACAAGCGGUGGAGUAUGUGGUUUAAUUCGAUGCAACACGAAGAACCUUACCAGGGUUUGAAAUCAUUUCAAAACUCCUUGAAAGAGGAGCCUCCUUCGGGAUGAAAUGACAGGUGGUGCAUGGCUGUCGUCAGCUCGUGUUGUGAAAUGUCGAGUUAAGUCUCGUAACGAGCGUAACCCAUGUCUCUUGUUGCUCACUGAGUGCUUAAGAGAGACUGCCGACCAACAUCGGAGGAAGGUGUGGAUGAUGUCAAGUCAGCAUGCCCCUUACAUCCUGGGCUACACACGUACUACAAUGGUAAGGACAAUGAGCUGCGAUCCUGCGAAGGCUAGCCAAUCUCAAAAACCUUAUCUCAGUUCGGAUUGCACUCUGCAACUCGAGUGCAUGAAGGUGGAAUCGCUAGUAA
rnacentral:rRNA from 1 species